ACUCUGCGAUGAAGUGAGAGGUUGCUGUCGCCUUAGGCAGGUUUUUCCCAUGGAGUAUGUCACGAUCUUUGAAUCGGACGACAA
rfam:Acetobacterium woodii DSM 1030, complete genome.